rnacentral:rRNA from 1 species
UACAGAGGGGGCGAGCGUUAUUCGGAAUUAUUGGGCGUAAAGGGCGCGUAGGCGGCCUUUCAAGUGACGGGUGAAAUCCCCCGGCUUAACCGGGGAACUGCCUGUCAGACUGGGAGGCUUGAGACCGGGAGAGGUGAGUGGAAUUCCCAGUGUAGCGGUGAAAUGCGUAGAUAUUGGGAGGAACACCAGUGGCGAAGGCGGCUCACUGGACCGGUACUGACGCUGAUGCGCGAAAGCGUGGGGAGCAAACAGG